UAUUCGGGGAGGACAGGUGGUGCAUGGUUGUCGUCAGCUCGUGUCGUGAGAUGUUGGGUUAAGUCCCGCAACGAGCGCAACCCCUAUUGCUAGUUACCAUCAUUAAGUUGGGGACUCUAGCGAGACUGCCAGUGAUAAACUGGAGGAAGGUGGGGAGUGACGUCAAAUCAUCAUGCCCCUUAUGACCUGGGCUACAAACGUGAUACAAUGGCUGGAACAAAGGGAUGCGAAGCAGGUGAUGUGGAGCGAAACCCAUAAAAACAGUCUCAGUUCGGAUUGAAGUCUGCAACUCGACUUCAUGAAGUCGGAAUCGCUAGUAAUCGCGGAUCAGAACGCCGCGGUGAAUACGUUCUCGGGGUUU
rnacentral:rRNA from 1 species